rnacentral:RNase_P_RNA from 1 species
GACAGCCGGGCGGCCGCUGUUACCCCUUGGGGUAAUGGAGGAAAGUCCGGGCUCCACGGAAAAACGGCGGCGGGUAACGCCCGCCGGGGGUGACCCCAGGGAAAGUGCCACAGAAACAAACCGCUAACGUCUUCGGGCGCAGCAAGGGUGAAAAGGUGCGGUAAGAGCGCACCGCCGUCCUGGCAACAGGGCGGGUCCAGGCAAACCCCGCCGGGAGCAAGACCAAAUAGGGAUGGCGCGAAGAGGCGACUCUUCAGGCUUUUUCCGGGCCAGCCAUCCGGGUAGGUUGCGCGAGGCGCUUGGCGACAAGCGUCCCAGAGGAAUGGCCGUCGCGGAAGGUUCGCCUUCCAAACAGAACCCGGCUUACAGGCUGUCUGGCUAU